rnacentral:rRNA from 1 species
UACGUAGGGUGCAAGCGUUAAUCGGAAUUACUGGGCCUAAAGCGUGGGCAGGCGGUUUUGUAAGUCUGUCGUGAAAGCCCCGGGCUCAACCUGGGAAUUGCGAUGGAGACUGCAAGGCUUGAAUCUGGCAGAGGGGGGUAGAAUUCCACGUGUAGCAGUGAAAUGCGUAGAGAUGUGGAGGAACACCGAUGGCGAAGGCAG